rnacentral:rRNA from 1 species
UACGUAGGCCUCAAGCGUUAUCCGGAAUUAUUGGGCGUAAAGAGCUCGUAGGCGGUUUGUCGCGUCUGCCGUGAAAGUCCGGGGCUCAACUCCGGAUCUGCGGUGGGUACGGGCAGACUAGAGUGAUGUAGGGGAGACUGGAAUUCCUGGUGUAGCGGUGAAAUGCGCAGAUAUCAGGAGGAAUACCGGUGGCGAAAGCGACUCUCUGGACGGCAACUGACGCUGAGGCACGAAGCGUGGGGAGCAAACAGG